GACGAACGCUGGCGGCGUGCUUAACACAUGCAAGUCGAACGGAAAGGCCCUGCUUUUGUGGGGUGCUCGAGUGGCGAACGGGUGAGUAACACGUGAGUAACCUGCCCUUGACUUUGGGAUAACUUCAGGAAACUGGGGCUAAUACCGGAUCGGAGCUCCUGCUGACUGGUGGGGGUUGGAAAGUUUCGGCGGUUGUGGAUGGACUCGCGGCUUAUCAGCUUGUUGGUGGGGGAGUGGAUUACCCAGGCUUUGACGGGUAGCCGGCCUGGGAGGGUGACCGGCCACAUGGGGACUGAGAUACGGCCCAGACUCCUACGUGGGGCAGCAGUGGGGAAUAUUGCACAAUGGGCGGAAGCCUAAGGCAGCAACGCCGCGGGCGGGAUGACGGCCUUCGGGUUGUAAACCGCUUUCGCCUGUGACGAAGCGUGAGUGACGGUAAUGGGUAAAGAAGCACCGGCUAACUACGUG
rnacentral:rRNA from 1 species